CUUACAAAGGCUUAAAUGUAUGUUGACGUAAUUGGAAACAGUUAUUUUUUUCGGACAAUAUACAAGGUGCUGCAUGGUUGUCGUCAGCUCGUGCCGUGAGGUGUCAGGUUAAGUCCUAUAACGAGCGCAACCCCUGUGGUUAGUUACCAGCGAGUGAAGUCGGGGACUCUAACCAGACUGCCGGUGCAAACCGUGAGGAAGGUGGGGAUGACGUCAAAUCAUCACGGCCCUUACGUCUUGGGCUACACACGUGCUACAAUGGUCGGUACAGCGAGCAGCCACUGCGUGAGCAGGCGCGAAUCUAUAAAACCGAUCACAGUUCGGAUCGGAGUGCGUGCAACUCGACUCCGUGAAGCUGGAAUCGCUAGUAAUCGGAUAUCAGGCAUGUCCGAUGCC
rnacentral:rRNA from 1 species